AGGACAGUCCAGUGAAUGUGUGUUUCUGACCUCCGCUGUGGGUGCCGUGUGCGUCAUCCUGCUCGUCUUCACAGUGAUGCUCAGCAUGCUGUUGUCACUCCGACAGAGCAGAGACGAAAGAGAAGCAGACGGGCGGCUGGAGAUGACUGACGAGGAGUCAGCUGAUCUUCACUACGCCGCUCUGAGAUUUCAAACUUCAGGCAGAAGAAACAUCAGCUGAUUCUUCACUUCCUGUUCUGAGUCUGGAGGUGGACUCUUAUUGGC